GCAUAUCAAUAAGCGGAGGAAAAGAAACUAACAAGGAUUCCCCUAGUAACUGCGAAGUGAAGCGGGAAAAGCUUCAAAUUUAAAAUCUGGUGGUCUUCGGCCAUCCGAGUUGUAAUCUAGAGAAGUGUUACCCGCGUCGGACCGUGUACAAGUCUCCUGGAAUGGAGCGUCAUAGAGGGUGAGAAUCCCGUCUUUGACACGGACUACCGAGGCUUUGUGGUGCGCUCUCAAAGAGUCGAGUUGUUUGGGAAUGCAGCUCAAAAUGGGUGGUAAAUUCCAUCUAAAGCUAAAUAUUGGCGAGAGACCGAUAGCGAACAAGUACCGUGAGGGAAAGAUGAAAAGAACUUUGGAAAGAGAGUUAAACAGUACGUGAAAUUGCUGAAAGGGAAACGCUUGAAGUCAGUCGCGUUGGCCGGAAAUCAGCCUUGCUUUUGCUGGGUGUACUUUCUGGUUGACGGGCCAGCAUCAGUUUUGACCGGUGGAAAAAGUCCAAGGGAAUGUGGCAUCUUCGGAUGUGUUAUAGCCCUUGGUCGUAUACAUCGGUUGGGACUGAGGAACUCAGCACGCCGAAAGGCCGGGUCUUUGACCACGUUCGUGCUUAGGAUGCUGGCAUAAUGGCUUUAAUCGACCCGUCUUGAAACACGGACCAAGGAGUCUAACAUGCCUGCGAGUGUUUGGGUGGAAAACCCGGACGCGCAAUGAAAGUGAAAGUUGAGAUCCUUGUCAUGGGGAGCAUCGACGCCCGGACCAGAAGUUUUCUGACGGCCCUGCGGUAGAGCAUGUAUGUUGGGACCCGAAAGAUGGUGAACUAUGCCUGAAUAGGGUGAAGCCAGAGGAAACUCUGGUGGAGGCUCGUAGCGAUUUCUGACGUGCAAAUCGAUUCGUCAAAUUUGGGGUAUAGGGGGCGAAAGACUAAUCGAACCAUCUAGUAGCUGGGUUCCUGCCGA
rnacentral:rRNA from 1 species